rnacentral:misc_RNA from 1 species
GGAAUAAUACUCAUAGCUACAGAUUCAAAAUGGAGUUAUCAAGAAACAGUAAGUAUAAUAAGAUACGCCUUGACUAGCUAUCUUUAAUCAAACAGACUUGCAGGAUCGAAUAUUAAAAUGUUGCUACCUGCUAGGUUUAACAGAAGAAGUUAUAGAUAAGUUUCGUUUCAUUCCGACAAGUUAAAACAACUACCCAACAAAGCAAUAGAUUUCAUUUUGUAUCAUGGUCAUGCUCUGUAUGUAUCGUGUCAUAUUUGGUGUUUACAGUCAAAUAGUUGAGUGUGUAAAAACUCUCUAUAAAGUAUUCUAAUGAACAAUGAUGAAGACUCGCAAUAUCUGUUGUAUCUGUUAGAGCGAAUGGUACAUAAUCUUUAGCACAUUUGUGCCCAAUUUUCUUUUCAAUUUUUAUUGAUGAAAUAAAUGUAAAUGAGGACCAAGAAAGAGGGAUAAAAACUGUGAAAUACAUGUACUAUGACGAAGUUAGGUACUGACAAUUUUCGUUCUUUAUCGCCGUUUCUGGGAUGAUUUUUCUUCGUGGUUCAUAAAGGGUAACUGCGUUUACUGCUUUCGUGUACAGUUUCCUCUAUUUGAAUAGAUCAUGCUUUUGUCAUUGUAAGUUAUUUUGACGUCGAUAGUUUUUAUCCCUUGCAUUCUAUGUCUAUAACAAGAUUCAAUCGCAUCAUGAAGCUGUACAUAAUAAAUACAACCUCAUAAUGAAGUUCACAAGUGUUUUAUGCUUAUAACCUGCAUAAAUCUUCGUAUGAAAUCACAUAAAAACCCUCAACAGUUCUAUCACAAAUUGAAAAAUAAUAAACAUUAAUUAUAAUACUGCAGUAACCAAAAAUGACGGAACAAUCAUUUUAUACCAAAAACUUGUCUUGAAGAUCAUGACAAUUUAGAAUAGAUCCUUUUAUUGGUUCAAGUUAUAGCUUAUAAGCAAACUUGUGUUUCAAUGUUCUUAGUAAUAAAAUAGUGAACCUUUUGAAGGUGUCUAAUAGAAUAUAUACCAAUAUAAUAUCUUGUCCAAUGCUGAACAUUUCUUGUGUAUCAAAAGAUUAGCUUUAGCAACCAUGUUGUUCUCCAAUUCAUGUAUUUAUCUAUUAAAUUUAAGUGUACAUGUAUAUAACUACUGUAUUAUUUGUCAUGUAUUGUUAACAUUCUAUUCCAUUUGUUCUCAUUCCAUAUUCUGUUCGUGUUAUUGCUGAAUAAAAUUGGUUUUCUUUCG